CUCUCCGGCAGGAGGCGCGCCGCUCCGGAGCGCGGCGACAUGGACCCGCGCUGCACGUUUCGGCCGAACGUGUUUAAUAAGAGUAAAUGUCAGGGCUGCUUCAGGCCUCGGGAGCUGCACCUGGAGCCCGGUGAAGGUCUGGAGCAGGCGAAGGCCGUCUACGGUGGGUGGCUGUGUCUCGCUCCAGAGGGGACCGACUUUGUAAAUCCGCUUCAGCGAACCAGGGUAAGGGCCUGAUAACCUCGGUGGACCUGCUCCAGUUCGUCCUCUUCUUGCGGCGUGACUCGUCUGUCUGUCUGUCUGCAGAAAUGGCAGCGGCGCUUCUUCGUCCUGUAUGAAAACGGACGCCUGCGCUUCGCCCUGGACGAUUCUCACUUGGCAGACGCCCGUAUCCAGAGCAACGUGCUUCCAUGUCACCAUGGAUGAAGUGAUCAGUUCUGGUUCAGUAGGACCCCCAACUAUGUCCCAAACUUUGUCCCCUUCCCAGCCGAGCACGCUUCCACAAGGCGCCAUCAUCAUCAACGCGUGCACCGAGGUCGCCGACGCCAAGUCGCGGACAGGGCAGAAGAACUCCCUGGCGAUGGCCACGCCCGGCCAGGAGCUGUUCGUGCGGGGAGACAGCAAGGACCUCGUCGACCGGUGAGGAACUCCCCGGAGCCAACGCGAGCGUUCCCGAACCUGUUCUUCCUGCCGGUGGAUGUGGCGCGUUGUUCACGCCGAGAUGUUGCCUCAGAAGAUGGAGUGAGCAGCUCGCUGUUUACCGACCGAAGGGCGUGAGCAGGAAGAGGGAUACGGCCGCGCUGGACUCCAGCCCAGGGGAGGACGAAGGAACCGGCGUCGAGAUGGACGCGAGUCCAGGAGAAGAGGAGGCACCGUCCAACUCAUUGCAGCGCAGAGUGACUCCUCGCCUCCAUGCAUCUCCUGAUGCGGCAAUGAGCCACGCCCACUCCGCCUCACCUCUCCAAGGUUCUGUCAGUUCUUUGGACUCUGAGGUCAGCAGUCCUCAGGCCGGAACCGACCAAAGGGACGGCUUGGCCUCCUCGGCACAGAGGAGAUCAGCCGGAUCAUCUGAACUUCAAGAAGGGCUCAAAACCAGUGGCGAAAGUUCUGGUUUGUGUUGUCGUCGCACAAGCUGCAGUACUACGCUGAUGCUGCGGCGGAGGAAGUACGUCCUGAUCCUCAGCCGCGUGGCAUCUGCUCUCUCGCCGUCACACUCAAGGGCUCGGACUUGAAGGGCGUGGUCAACCUGACCACCGGCCUGAAGGUGGCUGAGCAUCACGUCCAGAGGAACUACGGCUUUCAGAUUCAUGUAGGUUUUCCAUUCUGAAACACAGAACCGUCACGUUCUAAUAUCUCAUAAUCCAAUUCCAGAUACAUAUUUGAUGUCAUUGUUUAAAAGAUACCUUGAUAUUAAAUCCAUGAAAUAAGGUUAAAGAAUUGACCUUGGAAACGGUCAAAUAAAAACAGUUGGUUUAUGGAGUUUCUCA
rnacentral:lncRNA from 1 species